CCAAUCUUCACAACCCCAACAAGCAUCCGCACCACAUUAGACAUUAACGGGUCUCUGGUGUCGCCCUCUCUCCAGUGAAAGGUCGUACUGACUCUGCUACUGCAUUCUUCGUUUUCAGUAGAUUGUUUUCUCCUCAGCGCUUCGUCGCAGAGGCUGCGCCAACGAGUAGCGUUCCCCCCUCUUUCCCUCUUUUUUUUUCUGUGCUGACGGUGGCGACGAAAGCGUUGCUGUUGACAUCAUGGCCUACAGCCAAUCGCAGCAGAUGCAAAAGGAGUUCCGGCUGCCGAUGGUGCCGGGACUGUCCUGUGGCGAGGAGAUGAUGCGCCGCAACUACGAUCGUCGCCAGAUACACGGUGUGAAGCUGGACUGCGCGACGGCGAUCGCUGGCGUGCCAGCAGAUCGCACUCUCACCGGCGGCAGUAGCGACUACCCCGGCUCCACGCUCAAGGGCGCCGUGAUGGCCGUCGCGGAGGCGGCCAGGGCUGACGAGCAGGGCGCGGAGGACCCGACAGGCCGCGUGCUCCGCUACUACGGCUACUGCAUCGAGCCAGUCUCGGACAGUGCACUGGAGACGGAGCGGGUGCGCAAGGUGAUCCUCAACUUCUACCUGGAGGAUGGCACGAUGAGCGUGACGGAGCCGAAACAGGACAACUCCGGGUUUGCCUUUCCCGCCAACCUGAAGCGCCACAUCGUCCCCAACCCGGACGGAACGCCGAUCACCGCUGCACAGCUGAAGGUGGGUGGGUCGGUGUCCUUCUACGGCCGCACAUACGAGCUGUACGACGCCGACCCCUUCACUCGGGCCCUGCUCAAAGAGGGUGGGGAAGAGGUGCCGCAGGCCAUCGUGCCGCCGACGGACGUGUACACCACGAUGCGCGGCCGCCCUGUGGCCAAGGCGCACGACGUCCCGUCCAUCGCGGCGUCCAGCCCGCUGAACACGAUGCUCUCGCCGGCCCAGGUACGGGCGACCCGGCAAUUCCUCGAGUUUGACCGCAAGGUGCUGCGGUGCGACUGCACGUGGGACGACACAACGAGCCUCUACGGCACGAAGCACUUUCUCACGCUUUACUACUUCCUUAGCGACGGCAGUAUCGCGUUCGUCGAGAAGGAUGUGCAGAACAGCGGCCGCGACCCGUUUCCCAAGUUCUUAAGCCGCCAGCGCAUCGCGAAGCCGACAAGCGCCUCCGGCAAGUUUGACUCCUCUUCUCUUGGCUCCGUCACCUUCAAGGAGGACGCGAACACCGUCUACUACACCGACGAAGACAUCCGCAUUGGAAACGUGCUCAACCUCUACGGCCGCCAGGUGAAGAUCCACGACUACAACCAGUACACCCGCGACCACAUGGCGAAGAAAUUCGGCAUCACAGCAUACGCUCCCAUUCCCGGCGCCACGCCGCCGCCGUUUGUGCCGCCGUGCUCGACGCGCCGCGAGAUCUCCGAGGAGACGGUGCGCGAGCACCACAACGAGAAGCACGAGGAGCUUCGCCGCCACCGCUUCGCCAACUCUGUUGUCAAGUUUCUCGCCCGCCUGGACAACGGCAAAGAGGAAGACAAGGUGCGCCGCUUCGUGCUGGCCGUAUACCUGGCCGACAACAGCGUCUCCAUCUUCGAGCCCGUCAUCCGCAACAGCGGAAUCGUGGGCGGGAAGUUCCUGCAGCGCCAGAAGGUGCGCCGCGCCGAUGGCGAGUACUUCCGCGCGGACGACUUCUACGUCGGCGCGCGCGUGGUGCUCAACUCGUUUCCGUUUGUCAUCCUCAACUCAGACGAGCACUCGCUGAACUACAUGGAGCACAACCCUGAGGAAUUCGGUCACUCUGACAUCAACAAAAUCGUCCGCAAGAUGCAAGCGAUGCUGCAGAGUAGCACCACGGGUCUCGCCGAGGCGUUCCGCCUCGCCGAUGAGAACCGGAGCGGCGGCCUCGACAUGGAGGUGUUUCUGUCCAUCAUGAAGGAACUCAACCUCGACAUCACCGAACAAGAGAUCCUGACAGUGCUACGGUACUUUGACAAAAACAACGAGUCGUACGUCAGCUAUGAAGAGGUGGCCAGCCGCAUCAUGCCCGAGGGCAGCGCGGUGGCGAGCGACAACCGUUCGUGGGAGGCUAUCUACCAGGAGGGCGCCGAUCAUGCCACCGCGUCGUUCCUCGACGACCCCAAGGAGGCAGAGGAGAAGGAGCGCAAGAGCCGCGAAAACGCGGCGGCUUCUCGAGGUGCGACGGAGUUCCUCAAGCUCUACGAUCAGCGCCGUCAGCUGUUCAUGAAAGAGUUCCACGCCAUCACCGACUACGCCAAGGACAGCCUGAUCGGGUCUGAUGAGUUUAAGAUGUGUGCGCGGCGCAAGCUGGAGCUCUCCUCCAUCUCCGACGAAGAGAUGUGCGCGCUGGCGAAAAAUCUCUUUCCUGUUGUGGCACCGCGCGUGUCGUACGAGGAGUUCAUGCGCCUGCUGAACGGCACCUCCACCUACGCCCACACCGUCGCCGCCAUCGCCUCUCACGGCGCUUCAAAGUAGGCUGGAAUGUGGUGGGUGUGAUAUGGCAGCAGACGGAGGGGAGGAGAGGGGCACCGAGGCGGGUGCUUGCCCGCCUGUAUCUCUAAGUAAGUGUGCGUGUAUGUCCACAGCUACAAAGACACGAUGUAAAGUACGAACACAAGAGCAGAAGCUGAUGCGGUGCGAUGCUUGGCAAGGUAUCUCACUGGAGCCUAGAGCGCUACCCCCUUUCUCACGUCUCGCUCCGCCCCAGUGACUCCGCGGGAGAGAAAGGUGUCGCGCUUGUGAUGAUUGCAGAUGUGCAUGAGGUACGAUGGCUGUCAUCUCUGCGUUGUCCUCUUUUUUUUUUGGUGGGGGAGGGUCUUUUCAUGUGCAUGUGUGUCUGUGUGGGGUUAUUUUGAGUGUGUUUGUUGUCAUGUUUCCACCGUUGCUUCUUGCGCCUGGUGUCCAUAUUUAGACCUCUGCUUCCCUUCUCCUCCCAUCAUCGUUAGGGUCGCUCGUCGUCCAGCAAUGGCGAUAGCCUUCUUCGAUGACACCCCCUCACCUCUUCAUCGACAGGCCAAGGGAGAGGGGAUGAGGGCAAGGGUCGUACCGUCUUAUAUACAUACGCACAGAGGGAGAGAGGGGGGGGCGUGCGUGCACGUGACACUAGUCCUUUGUAUUUCCUUCCUCUCCUCCUCCCUCGCCCCCUCCCUUUCUCAUCUAUCUUUCUUGUAUCUGUGGCUGUGGCUGUAUGCCACUCGUCUUCAUCGCGCUGCGGCGGAUACGCGGGUAGUUCAUGUAUGAUAGGGCAUCUCUCUGUCCGCUCUACGGUGGCAAAGCAUC
rnacentral:misc_RNA from 1 species